rnacentral:rRNA from 1 species
UGGGGAAUCUUGCGCAAUGGGCGAAAGCCUGACGCAGCGACGCCGCGUGCGGGAAGAAGGCCUUCGGGUUGUAAACCGCUUUCAGGAGGGACGAAGCCACUCGGGUUAAUAGCCCAGAGGGUGACGGUACCUCCAGAAGAAGCCCCGGCUAACUACGUGCCAGCAGCCGCGGUAAUACGUAGGGGGCAAGCGUUGUCCGGAUUUAUUGGGCGUAAAGAGCGUGUAGGCGGCCGUGUAGGUCUGACGUGAAAUCUGGAGGCUCAACCUCCAGCUGUCGUUGGAAACCGCUCGGCUAGAGUCCGGAAGAGGAGAGUGGAAUUCCUGGUGUAGCGGUGAAAUGCGCAGAUAUCAGGAAGAACACCUAUGGCGAAGGCAGCUCUCUGGGACGGUACUGACGCUGAGACGCGAAAGCGUGGGGAGCGAACAG